AAAAAUUGAAUUAGUUAAAACAACUCAGUAUACCAAAGUUAUACCCAAGAAUCAAAUUAAUAAUACAUUUAUAUCUAAAGAAUUGAUCAAUUUAACAAUAAUUACGCUACAAAGACAAGCAUCAAUGUAGAAAAAAAUUGGUAUAAAAUGUUUACAGCUCCGAAAAGGAACAAGCUUAAAGUCAAUUACAACAACUAAUCUGGUAAAUUCAUACCCAAACCCAAAAUAAAAAGGAAAAAAAAAAAAAAGAGGAAAAAUAUCCUGAUAAAAUCUCGAUUAACUAGGUUAGCAACAGAAGAGAGGAGAAAAGAAAGCGAACCUUGUCGUCAGGUUUAACUUCAACUGCGAAAUGGGUACCUUUGAGAGUCUUCACGGAAAUCUUCAUUUUUUUACUUGCAAAACAGGGAUCAGAAUUCAAUGAAGAAGGAGAAGAAGGGCACAGAACACACAGCGGUGCAAUGCAAGUAAAGAAUUAUUGAUGUCUUUUCCGGCACGACAUUAUUAUUUUCCUUUUCCUUAUUCUUUUUUUUUUUUAAAUAAAUAAAUAAAAAUUAUGUUCUAUAUUUGAUUCCUCCUAACAUUAUCUAGCUUGCCUUUCUAGACGCGUUUUAGGCUUCGCGUAGGGACUUGGAAUUGUAGUGUUACGAUGGAUAUGGAGCGUGUUACUGGAAAUUGGGAAAGGAGAGUAGGCAUUCGGGAACAAGAUAGGGGUUAGAAAGUGUGCUAAUUUUGACUAAGAUAUUUUUGGGGAAAUUAGGUUCAAUACUGCCCAAAAGCAACAAAAUUGAAUAAUACACCUAAUUAAUAAAUUUUCAGCAAUCCUUUUAUUUAACAGUAAAUAAUACGUACAUAAAUGCCGAAAAUUGAUGAAAAGGAGUCAUUUAUAUAAACAUCAAAAUCCUAAUCCUCAAUGACGAAGACGAAGGCGAUUCAAUCAAAAAUCACCACGAUUAAAUACCUUCCUCCCUUCUGCUCCAUCUAAUACUUCAUCUUGUUCUCGACAUGUAACGCCGCUAUUUAAUAGGAGACAGCUGAUUAUAUGUAAGGCAAUCAAUGAGGCCUCUCUUUCU
rnacentral:lncRNA from 1 species